ensembl:misc_RNA Metazoa_SRP Metazoan signal recognition particle RNA
GCCAGGCGUGGUGGCGCAUGCCUGUAAUCCCAGUUACUUGGGAGGCUGAGGCAGGAGAAUUGCUUGAGCCCAGGAGGCAGAGGUUGCAGUGAGCCGAGAUUAUGCCACUGCACUCCAGCCUAGACAACAAAGCAAGACUUCGUCUCAA